CCUACGGGGCGCACCAGUGGGGAAUAUUGCACAAUGGGCGCAAGCCUGAUGCAGCCAUGCCGCGUGUGUGAAGAAGGCCUUCGGGUUGUAAAGCACUUUCAGCGGGGAGGAAGGCGAUAAGGUUAAUAACCUUGUCGAUUGACGUUACCCGCAGAAGAAGCACCGGCUAACUCCGUGCCAUCAGCCGCGGUAAUACGGAGGGUGCAAGCGUUAAUCGGAAUUACUGGGCGUAAAGCGCACGCAGGCGGUCUGUCAAGUCGGAUGUGAAAUCCCCGGGCUCAACCUGGGAACUGCAUUCGAAACUGGCAGGCUAGAGUCUUGUAGAGGGGGGUAGAAUUCCAGGUGUAGCGGUGAAAUGCGUAGAGAUCUGGAGGAAUACCGGUGGCGAAGGCGGCAACCUGGCUCGAUACUGACGCUGAGGCGCGAAAGCGUGGGGCGCAAACAGGAUUAGAUACCCCAGUAGUC
rnacentral:rRNA from 1 species